rnacentral:lncRNA from 1 species
GGGCUCUAUAGAGGCGACCGGCAAGCUGGAACACCAACCUGGAAAGAGAGUGAGCCACAAGGACCAAUUGGAAGCCUGUGGGGGAUAUCGGGGGCGGGGCUGCUGGCUGUGGUACUUUUGCAGCUUUGGUGGGCUCCGGCUUCCUUCACUCCAGCCCACCGCGUCCGAGAGACUUAGCAGGGCGUCAAACUGGAGAGCGGAAGGAUGGAACCUUUUAUUCUCAGGUGGAGAGGAUUAAGCUUUGCGGUGUUAGCAGAAAAUGAUCGAGCUCCAGAAAAUGAUUUGGAGGGUGAUCCCUUGGGGACUACGCUCCUUGAAACAAGGAGGACAGUGCUGGAGUGCAAUGAUGUGAUAUCUCGGCUCACUGCAACCUCCCCCUCCCAGGUUCAAGUGAUUCUCCUGCCUCAGCUGUGGGGAAAAGAAAGAGAGAUCAGACUGUUACUGUGUCUGUGUAGAAAGAAGUAGAUAUAAGAGACUCCAUUUUGUUCAUCUUGUGAGUCGAUGGCGCACGAUUGCGGUGUUUCUGUCUCCGUGGAGGUGCUUUUCUUUGCAUCUCCGAUGGGUUCAUUGUAGAACUUCAAAUGUCUAGUGGGUAUCCAAACAGGAAGCUGAUUUUCUCCUGGUGAAACACAAGCAAAACCUCUCCCCCAUGUUACCACCUUCCCUAUUUCCCAUGUCUUAUUUUUAUUAUCUUUCUACCAAAUCAGUUUUCCUUCAUGUGGGCUGUUCUUUUUACCAGUAAGAUGUUGUUCUGCAGAAGUAGUAGUCUGAUUUCUAUAAAUGUUUAAAAAAUAUAAAGUGCUAGAUUAAGUUGCAUCUGAGGCGUGGUACAUUCCUUACUGUCUCCCCCUUCUUUUUAUUUAACUAAUUGAGUUUUGAGUGUUCUAUUAGUUCUUUCAACUAUGGCCUGUCCUUGGGAAUUAUAAGGAAUUCCUGUUGUAUGUGAAAUUUUCCACUGACUUAAGAAUUUUUGGAAAGCUUUACUACAGUAUCCUGCCCCAUUGUCAGUUUUAAUUUUUUCUGGAACUCUCAUUACAGCAAAACAAGGUAAUAAAUGUUUUUUAACAUGGGAAGUACUUUCUCCUGUCUGGCAGGUUGCCCAUAUGAAAUGUGAAUAAGUAUCAACUGUUACAUGAACAUAUAAUAAUCUUCCAAAUGAAGGUACAUGCGUGACAUCCAUUUGCCGUAAUGCAUUAGGACACAGACCCCUGGGAUUAACUCCUGCCUCUUGAGUGGGCAGGUGUAGGACUUGACACUGGGUGCAAUGUCGUACAAUAUCUUUUGCCUGUUUCCAUGUGACAUCAAAUUUGUUUUUUAAUCCUGCUGCAUUUACAUGAGUCAAAGCAUGAAAUUUUUGUGCUUUUAUGAAUGCAGAUGAUACCAGUAAGUCAGCUGGUUCAUUUGCUUUAGUCAAAGGCCCUGGUAAAUUAGUGUGUGCUCGAAUAUGAGUAAUAUAAAAUGGGAAAUUUCUUUUUCUUACAGUUUGUUGUAAUAAAUUGAAUAGCUGGUUUAACUGAUCAUCCAUGCUAUAUUUAAUUAGAGCUGUCUUUACAUCCCUUGUAGCCUGUACUACAUAUGCAGAAUCUGAUACAAUAUUGAUAGGUUGAUCAAAAUCUUGUAACACUGUAAUGACUGCAACCAACUCUGCCCUUCGAGCCAAUUGAUAUUGAGUUUUGAUUACUUGCUCUUUUGGCCCUGUGUAAGCCGCUUUUCCAUUGCUGGAACCAUCAGUAAACACUGUCAGAGCAUUUUCUAAAGGUUCACGUCUGGUAAUUUUAGGUAGAAUCCAAGUAGUUAAUUUUAAAAACUGGAAGAUUUUUGUUUUUGGGUAAUGAUGAUCAAUAAUUCCCACAAAAUUAGCAAGACCAAUCUGCCAUGCACCAGAAUUGAUAAAGGCUUGUCUAACUUGUUCCUUGGUUCAAGGGACAACUAUUUUGUCUGGGUCAUUUACACACAAUUUUAUUAUUUGUAAUCUUGCCUGACCAAUUAAUGUAGCUAUUUGAUCCAAGUACAAUGUAAAAGUCUUAAUUGUACUGUGAGGAAGGAAUGACCACUCCACAAGAUCAGUAUUUUGAACAGUGAUGCCUGUUGGAGAAUGUGCAGUAGCAAAAACCAAAAGUUGGAGUGGGGCUAAGGGAUCUAUUCUAUUUAUUUGCACUGACUGAAUUUUUUGUUCCACUAAUUUAAUUUCUUUUAUUGCCUCUGGGGUUAAUAUUCUCUUACUAUUUAAGUCUGAGUCUCCUCUUAAGAUAGAGAACCAAUUUUCGAAGCAUCAAAAGCCCAUUUAAAUUUGGUACCAGAAACUGAGGCAAUCGCAGGAGUGACUGAUGGCCUCGCAAAUCUUAACCCUGUCACUUGGGUUAAGACCAUCGGAAGUACUACUAUUAUAAAUUUCGUAUUAAUCCUUGUGUGCCUGUUUUAUCUGUUGUUAGUCUGCAGGUGUACCCAGCAGCUCCGAAGAGACAGCGACCAUCGAGAACAAGCCAUGAUGAUGAUGGUGGUUUGUCGAAAAGGAAAUGGGGAAAUGUGGGGAAAAGAGAGAUCAGACUGUUACUGUGUCUGUGUAGAAAGAAGUAGACAUAAGAGACUCCAUUUUGUUCUGUACUAAGAAAAAUUAUUCUGCCUUGAGAUGCUGUUAAUCUGUAACCCUACCCCCAACCCUGUGCUCCCUGAAACACGUGCUGUGUCAACUCAGGGUUAAAUGGAUUAAGGGCUGUGCAGGAUGUGCUUUGUUAAACAAAUGCUUGAAGGCAGCAUGCUUGUUAAGAGUCAUCAUCACUCCCUAAUCUCAAGUACCCAGAGACAAUACGCUGCGGAAGGCCGCAGGGACCUCUGCCUAGGAAAGCCAGGUAUUGUCCAAGGUUUCUCCCCAUGUGAUAGUCUGAAAUAUGCUGGCCGGGAAAGACCUGACCGUCCCCCAGCCCAACACCCGUAAAGGGUCUGUGCUGAGGAGGAUUAGUAAAAGAGGAAGGAAGGCCUCUUUGCAGUUGAGAUAAGAGGAAGGCAUCUGUCUCCUGCUCGUCCCUGGGCAAUGGGAUGUCUCGGUGUAAAACCCGAUUGUAUGUUCCAUCUACUGAGAUGGGGAAAACCGCCUUAGGGCUGGAUGUGGGACAUGCUGGCAGCAAUACUGCUCUUUAAGGCAUUGAGAUGUUUAUGUGUAUGCACAUCAAAAGCACAGCACUUUUUUCUUUACCUUGUUUAUGAUGCGGAGACGUUUGUUCACAUGUUUUCCUGCUGACCUUCUCUCCACUAUUACCCUAUUGUCCUGCCACAUCCCCCUCUCCGAGAAACGCCCAAUAAUGAUCAAUAAAUACUGAGGGAACUCAGAGACUGGUGCCGGUGCGGGUCCACUGUAUGCUGAGCGCCACUUCCCUAAGCCCACUUUUCUUUCUCUAUACUUUGUCUCUGUGUCUCCUUCUUUUCUUAAGUCUCUCAUUCCACCUGACAAGAAAUGCCCACAAGUGUGGAGGGGCAGGCCACCCCUUCACUCAGCCUCCUGAGUAGCUGGGAUUGCAGGUGCGCGCCACCAUGUCUGGCUAAUUUUUGUGUUUUUAGUAGAGGCGGGGUUUCACCCUGUUGGCCAGGUUGGUCUUGAACUCCUGACCUCAGGUGAUCCACCCAUCUGGGCCUCCCAAAGUUCUGAGAUUACAGGCAUGAGUCACCGUGCCCAGCCCAUUUAUCCUUGAUAUAGCUAAAUUACUGAGCAUUAGGAAGGGUGGAACUUUCAGCCUGUAAAAUAUGAGUGAGGUUUCACAAAAACUAGCACAAUGUCUGGGGCCCAGAUUAUUCUAUUUGUGACUGGGCGGGAAGAGGUAUAUAUAUAGUAAUUUUUGUAUUUUUAGUAGAGACGGGGUUUCACCAUGUUGGCCAGGCUGGUCUUGAACUCCUGACGUUAAGUGAUCCAUCUGCCUCCCAAAGUGCUGGGAUUACAGGUGUGAGCCACCACUUUGGGCCAUAGAUCGGGUGAUUGGGGGAAGACCUGAGGUAUCUGAGCAGAAAUCUGGUUGGGGAGUGAGCCAACAGUUAUCUGGAGGGAAACUGGUUCAGGCAGAGGGAAGAGCAAAUCCAAAGCUCCUAAAGCAAAAGCAUAUUUUUGGUGUAUUUGAGAAACAGCAAGAAGGUCAAUGUAGCUAAGAGCCGGAAUAAGAGAAGAGAUGCAGGCAGGGAUGAGAUUGUUUUUGGCUUCUUAGGUCAUGGUAAGAACUUGGAUUUUAUUUUUUGUGUAAUGGGCACCCAUCAGAUGGUGUUGAGGAGGGGACUGACACAAAAUCAUUUAGGUAUUAAACUGAUCCUUCCGCUGCUCCAUGGGGACCCAGAGUGGAAGUAGUAGCAGGAAACCAAUUAGGCUUUUACAAUAGUUCAGGUAAGAGAUGACAGUGACUUGGACUAGGGUGUAGUAGCUAUGGAGAUGGUUGAAAAUGGCUAGAUGUGGGAUCUAUUUUAAAGGUACCACCAACAGCAUUUGCAGACUCAAGGAUGAUUUCAAAGUUUUGGGUCUGAGCAACUAGGUGAAUGAUAACAUUGUUUACUGAGACGGGGAGGCCUUAAGUAGAAGGUUUAGGAGGGAAAAUAUAGAUUUUGCUAUGGAC